GGUCAAGCGUAAAAGGGCAUGCGGGGGAUCCCUUGGCGCCAAUAGACGAUGAAGGACGUAGCUGGUUGCGAUAAGCCUCGGGGAGCCGCCAACAGGCAUUGAUCCGGGGAUUUCCGAAUGGGAAAACCUGAUGCGGUAAAGCCGCAUCACCCCUGACUGAAUUCAUAGGUCAGGGUAGGUAACCUGGGGAACUGAAACAUCUUAGUACCCAGAGGAAGAGAAAGCAAAGCGAUUCCCUUAGUAGCGGCGAGCGAAACGGGAACAGCCCAAACCGGUCAUGUGUAAGCGUGUACGCGUUGCAUGGCCGGGGUUGUGGGGUCUGAUUUGGCUGAAGUACAAAUAAGCCGGGAAGUCAAAAAAAUACUUUAUAGCUGAAGGAUUUGGAAAAAUUCGCCAUAGCGGGUGAUAGCCCCGUAAGCGAAAUGAAGUAUUCUUCCUGAGUCAGAUUCCCAAGUACCGCGGGACACGAGGAAUCUUGCGGGAAUCUGGGGGGACCAUCCUCCAAGGCUAAAUACUCAUUGGCGACCGAUAGUGAACUAGUACCGUGAGGGAAAGGUGAAAAGAACCCCUGUUAGGGGAGUUAAAAGAAUGUGAAACCGCAUGCCUACAAGCAGUGGGAGCUCUAUGGUCUCUUCGGAGACAAUGAGUGACCGCGUACCUUUUGCAUAAUGAGCCGCCGAGUUACUUCUACGUGGCAAGGUUAAGCCGAUUAAGGUGUAGCCGUAGCGAAAGCGAGUCUGAAUAGGGCGAACAUAGUCGCGUGGAGUAAACCCGAAGCCGGGUGAUCUAUCCAUGUACAGGGUGAAGCGAAGGUAACACUUCGUGGAGGCCCGAACGAGUUGACGUUGAAAAGUCAUUCGAUGAUGUGUGGAUAGGGGUGAAAGGCCAAACAAACCCGGCGAUAGCUGG
rnacentral:rRNA from 1 species